GGGCCCGCACAAGCGGUGGAGUAUGUGGUUUAAUUCGAUGAUACGCGAGGAACCUUACCAGGACUUAAAUGUAAGUUGCAUGAUUCAGAAAUGAAUCUUUCUUCGGACUACUUACAAGGUGCUGCAUGGUUGUCGUCAGCUCGUGCCGUGAGGUGUCAGGUUAAGUCCUAUAACGAGCGCAACCCCUAUCGUUAGUUGCCAUCAAGUAAAGUUGGGAACUCUAGCGAAACUGCCGGUGCAAACCGUGAGGAAGGUGGGGAUGACGUCAAAUCAUCACGGCCCUUACGUUCUGGGCUACACACGUGCUACAAUGGUCGGUACAGAAAGCAGCCACUAUGCGAAUAGGAGCUAAUCUUUAAAACCGAUCUCAGUUCGGAUCGCAGUCUGCAACUCGCCUACGUGAAGGAGGAAUCGCUAGUAAUCGCAGGU
rnacentral:rRNA from 1 species